GCAAGUCGUGCGAGAAAGGUCCCUUCGGGGGCUGAGUAAAGCGACGCACGGGUGAGUAACACGUGGAUAAUCUAUCCUUCGGACGGGGGACAACCUCGGGAAACCGGGGCUAAUACCGUGUAAGACCUUCGACUCUUCGGGGUUGAAGGUGAUAGGGGGCCUCUCCUUGGAAGCUCUCGACGAAGGCGGAGUCCGCGGCCCAUCAGCUUGUUGGUGGGGUAACGGCCUACCAAGGCAACGACGGGUAGCUGGUCUGAGAGGAUGAUC
rnacentral:rRNA from 1 species